AGGUAAAUUUAAUAUGUCAAGAGUCUAGACUAUUAAGAUGAAAUGAUUUAGAGAAAAUCAAAUAGUUUUUAUAUUGACAUAUUUGACCAAUAAAUUUUUUUUUUUAAAGAUUAAGCUUCAUCGAUUAUACGAAAGUGAGGGGGCUGUUCGCUUUAUUUCAGUUAUGAAAUGAAAGAAGAGGGUAUUUCCAAAUAGACAAGUACGA